UCUCGUGGAGAAGGAAAUGGCAACCCACUCCAGGAUUCUUGCCUGGGAAAUCCCAGAGACAGAGGAACCUGGCGGGCUUCAAAGUCCAUGGGGUCACAAAAGAGUCGGGCAUGACUUAGUGACUAUACAACGACAACAGAAGAGUUCUGCACCACCAAACCAGCUUUACAACAAAUGCGAAAGGAAUUUUUCUGAAGGUGAAAAAAGAAAAGGCCACAACUAGAAGCAAAGAAAAUUACAAAAUGAAGGAGCUCACCAGAAAACACGAACAUAUAGCAAAGGUUAUUACAGAGGACUGAGCAGGGUUUCCUGUGCUAUACAGGCUUGCAAGAAACAGGAAGGAUAAAGACAAGGCACACGUUGGGAAAACCAUACCUGACCCCUCACCCUCUUGGGUGUGGAGGAUUAACCACCAUCCCUAAAAAUGUAGGACUGAUGCUGAAGCUCCAAUAUUUUGGCCACCUGAUGUGAAAAGCCAACUUAUUGGAAAAGACCCUGAUUCUGGGAAAAAUUGAAGGCAAAAGGAGAAAGGGGCAACAGAAGAUGAGAUGGUUGGAUAGCAUCACCGACUCAGUGGACAUGAAUCAGAACAAACUACUUGAUAGCGGAGGACAGGAGAGCCUGGCAUGCUGCAGUUCACGGGAUCGCAAAGAGUCAGACACAACUUAGCCACUGAACAACAACAAAAAUCAUUUUUCACCUCUAAGAACUCAAAUUCAUGCCAGGAGUGAUGAUAUAUAUUCUUGUAAGGCUGGAAUCCUAUUAGUCAUAGAAUGGAUACCAAACCAAAUUCCAUGCAUGAAGUGCAGUUCUAAUUCUUUUAGAGUGGGCUUGCCACUUAAUGAAAUCUUUAUUCAUCUGGCUGAAACUCCUGGUACAGCAUUGAACUGAAAUAGUGGAAGCAGACAUCCUUGUCUUGUUCCUGAGAUUAAGGCAAGAGAGAAAAUCCAAAAUUCUUUAUUUGGGCCAGAACCAGAGUUGUUGACCCAGGUAUUUUAAACCCAUAAAUAAAAUUUUCUUAGAAGUCAAUUUGUUGGAAGUGACUGUAUCAGCCCAAAUUCAUGAACAUGAGUAUACUUCUAUCCAUCCUCGGAAGUAAUGCAAUUACUACAUUAUAUUCAUAUUAAUAAUUUAGGUUUGGCUGAGCUUCAUUUCUUCACUUAACUCAGAAAAUGUGGAGCCUAUCUAUCCGAACUCACUAUUGAUAGUGUACCUCCUUUCAGGGACCAACCAUUGGUUCCAAAGAGAGAGAGUCUGUGCUUCAGGGGAGUAACAGAGAUGAUGGAGUAUGAAAAACACCUGCUCAGUUUAUUAUGGUGUUUGUGGACUUAUCCUGGAUAGAUCAUCAAUGGAAUUAUGGCUGAGUAAAAUCAUAAGUUUCUAAGAAAAAGAAAUAGCCACAUAUUUGCCUAAAUUACUAACCAGAGUAGUAAUACAUUACAACUACCAAAGGAAUGUUAACUUUACACAAGUGAGAAAUCCCUUAUUUUUCUGGUGGAUUUGCUUAUGAUUAUUUAUAUUUGUGAAAUAUGCCAGAACAGCUCAAUUCUCAAUAAACCCUUCUCAAAGUACAUAUAUGCAGCAGUUUGGCAAAAAUCCUGACAUCUGGGUAGAACAUGAAGAAAACAAAAAUAUUUUUGUACAGCCUACAAAGACCAAUUUUAUUUGUGAGCUACCAGAGCUUGCUUUCUCUAUUAUACAUAACUUCUUUUAAAAUUUAAU